AGCCCAAUUAGGGUGAAACCGCGAAAGGCUUCUUAAAUCAGUUAUGGUUCCUUAGAUCGUACCCACAUUUACUUGGAUAACUGUGGUAAUUCUAGAGCUAAUACAUGCAAAUAGAGCUCCGACCGGAGACGGAAGGAGCGCUUUUAUUAGAUUCAAAACCAAUUCGGCGGCGGGUUCGCUCGUCGUCGUACCCACUGGUGAAUCUGAAUAACUUCCUGCUGAUCGCAUGGUCUCGCACCGGCGACGCAUCUUUCAAAUGUCUGCCUUAUCAACUGUCGAUGGUAGGUUCUGCGCCUACCAUGGUUGUAACGGGUAACGGGGAAUCAGGGUUCGAUUCCGGAGAGGGAGCCUGAGAAACGGCUACCACAUCCAAGGAAGGCAGCAGGCGCGCAAUUUACCCACUCCCGGCACGGGGAGGUAGUGACGAAAAAUAACGAUACGGGACUCAUCCGAGGCCCCGUAAUCGGAAUGAGUACAAUCUAAACCCUUUAACGAGGAUCAAUUGGAGGGCAAGUCUGGUGCCAGCAGCCGCGGUAAUUCCAGCUCCAAUAGCGUAUAUUAAAGUUGUUGCGGUUAAAAAGCUCGUAGUCGAAUCUGUGUCCCGCGCCGCCGGUUCAUCGCACGCGGUGUUUAACUGGCGUGUCCGCGGGACGUUCCUGCCGGUGGGCCGCUCUACCCGCAAGGGNGGUGGCCCAACUCAAUCCCACCGCGGUGCUCUUCACUGAGUGUCGAGGUGGGCCGGCACGUUUACUUUGAACAAAUUAGAGUGCUUAAAGCAGGCUAAAACUUCGCCUGAAUACCGUGUGCAUGGAAUAAUGGAAUAGGACCUCGGUUCUAUUUUGUUGGUUUUCGGAACCCCGAGGUAAUGAUUAAUAGGAACGGAUGGGGGCAUUCGUAUUGCGACGUUAGAGGUGAAAUUCUUGGAUCGUCGCAAGACGAACAGAAGCGAAAGCAUUUGCCAAAAACGUUUUCAUUGAUCAAGAACGAAAGUUAGAGGUUCGAAGGCGAUCAGAUACCGCCCUAGUUCUAACCAUAAACGAUGCCAGCUAGCGAUCCGCCGACGUUCCUUCGAUGACUCGGCGGGCAGCUUCCGGGAAACCAAAGCUUUUGGGUUCCGGGGGAAGUAUGGUUGCAAAGCUGAAACUUAAAGGAAUUGACGGAAGGGCACCACCAGGAGUGGAGCCUGCGGCUUAAUUUGACUCAACACGGGAAACCUCACCAGGCCCGGACACCGGAAGGAUUGACAGAUUGAGAGCUCUUUCUUGAUUCGGUGGGUGGUGGUGCAUGGCCGUUCAUAGUUGGUGGAGCGAUUUGUCUGGUUAAUUCCGAUAACGAACGAGACUCUAGCCUGCUAAAUAGGCGUAUUUCCGACAUCUCAAAGGCCCGCCGGUCCGGCGUUCGCGCCGCGGCCGCGCGCGGUUUUUACUGUCGGCGUACACACAAUUCUUCUUAGAGGGACAGGCGGCUUCUAGCCGCACGAGAUUGAGCAAUAACAGGUCUGUGAUGCCCUUAGAUGUUCUGGGCCGCACGCGCGCUACACUGAAGGAAUCAGCGUGUCCUCCCUGGCCGAGAGGCCCGGGUAACCCGCUGAACCUCCUUCGUGCUAGGGAUUGGGGCUUGCAAUUGUUCCCCAUGAACGAGGAAUUCCCAGUAAGCGCGAGUCAUAAGCUCGCGUUGAUUACGUCCCUGCCCUUGUACACACCGCCCGUCGCUACUACCGAAUGAAAUGAUUUAGUGAGGUCUUCG
rnacentral:rRNA from 1 species